GGAAGUAAAGAAAAGAGGAAGUACGGUGCUUGCCAGGGGGGUUUCCACAGAAUUUCGGUGGAAAGAGUGAAACGGAAAUGAGCUGCCCGGAAAAACCGCAGGGGAUGAGCGUGGGAAGCUGGACAGUAUAGAAGCCGUAGGCGUGGGAAACUGGACAGUAUAGAAGCCGUGGGGGUGGGAAACUGGACAGUAUAGAGGCCAGCGGAAAAGGGAAGGGCCAGAGAAGUCUAUAAAAAGGUCACCUUGGACAUCUACGGGGCUCUCUCCUGGACCGCGGUCAUAACGAACAGAAGCCGGUAGGAGUUUCAAGACCUUUUUCCAAAGCCUUCGAGAUUUUUGUGUAAGACGCAAGAUUGCUGGCACGGAUUAACUUGGAUUUACUCAAAAGAAUUGGACUGGACAACUUUGCUUGAGAAACUAGAAAACCGUAGAAGAUGUUGGUCAUGUGACCACGUAUUUUUGAAGGGGCAUCUAUUUCACUCAUCCUGCAGAGAAGGGAGACACAUGGCUUGAGGGUACAAAAAAGUUACAAAACCAUUCACUCCGGAUGAGCUUUGGGAUGAUGGCAUGGAAAAUAUGUCAUUUCCCUUUUUUACCCAUGGGUUUGUGACUCCAGAUUUAGCACAAGAAGUGGCAUGUGAAAAAGGUCACACCCAACACCUGCCGCUGACCAUCGACGGUGCUGUGGUGGAGAGAGUGAGCCGCGCCAGGUUCCUGGGGGUGCACGUCAGUGAGGAUCUCUCCUGGUCCACCAACACCGCAUCACUGGCGAAGAAGGCCCAGCGCCGCCUGUACUUCCUGCGGAAACUCAGGCGAGCGAGCGCUCCUCCGGCCGUCAUAACUACAUUUUACCGUGGCACCAUUGAGAGCGUCCUCUCCAGCUGUAUUGCUGUUUGGGGUGGCGGCUGCACUGACUACAACUUGAAGGCCCUGCAGCGCAUAGUGAACACGGCUGACUCCAAGCCUGGAGAUAAGAGGAGCAUCUGUAUUAGAAACUGACCGGACUCCACAAGGAAGUGAGUGUGGAACGUCCAUGACAGGGAAAAAGCUUCUGAAGGUCAUCGUGUAGCCCCCUCUGACAAUCCCUGGGCUGAGGAGCCUCAACUCUCGUUCAGAAUGUGACGCGGAGAGUGGACGGUGCCCAUGACUGAUCUAAAGACCUUUGACAUGAUGUUCAAGGGAAUAAAUGACAAACAGGAUGUAAGACUGAAUGACAGAAUUGAUUGCAAAGCAGUCUUGUGUUUGGAGGCCGCUGACUUGGAGACCUGCAUGUUUCCAAGACCAUGGACCGACUCUACACAAAUGACAAUGACAACGUUCAAUAUGCGUGCUUGUCUGACUCGUGCAGAAAGCCCUCAGGAAGAUUGCUCUGAUAGCACUGAGUAAUCCCAAGGUCUACAAUGGGUGGUGCCAGAUGUACAUCGAGUUCAUCUUUUUAGAAGCUGUUGGCGACACGCCACGGAUGAUGAAACAAGGACCGCAAUCGCUUUAAAAUUAGAACGGGCUCCAGCGCUGAGUCGCAAAGGGGGCUAUCAAAAGCCCACAAGAGAGUGAUGUUUAUAUUGUUGUGUUUUGCCGAGCUGGUUGUUUUGUUUGAUAUGUCCUACAUAAAAUAUGUAUAUAUUUCUAUUGUAACGUAGUAGUUUUGUUCUAUUAAAUAGACCACAUUUUUUAAUACUGUAUGUAUAGUUUUACAUUUUUAAACAUAUGAUUUAAAAACAGUGCACAUUUAUAUUUGUGAUGGUUGGAUAAUGUUUGAAAACAUUUAUUUAUUUAGGUUCAAUUAUCAUUUUGGUUAACUUUAACAUCAAAAGAUGUAUUUAUAUCUGCAGGUAAUAUAAAUAUGACUGUUAC